AUUGAACGCUGGCGGCAUGCUUUACACAUGCAAGUCGAACGGUAACAGGCCUUCGGGCGCUGACGAGUGGCGAACGGGUGAGUAAUGCAUCGGAACGUGCCCAGUCGUGGGGGAUAACGCAGCGAAAGCUGUGCUAAUACCGCAUACGAUCUGCGGAUGAAAGCGGGGGACCUUCGGGCCUCGCGCGAUUGGAGCGGCCGAUGUCAGAUUAGGUAGUUGGUGGGGUAAAGGCUCACCAAGCCAACGAUCUGUAGCUGGUCUGAGAGGACGACCAGCCCAAAGGGGGACGAGAAACGGCCCACGCUCCUACGGGAGGGAGGAGGGGGGAAGUUUGGAAAAGUGGCGCAAGCCUGAUCCAGCAAUGCCGCGUGCAGGAAGAAGGCCUUCGGGUUGUAAACUGCUUUUGUAAGGAGCGAAAAGGCUCCCUCUAAUACAGGGGGCUCAUGACGGUAACGUAAGAAUAAGCACCGGCUAACUACGUGCCAGCAGCCGCCGUAAAAC
rnacentral:rRNA from 1 species